rnacentral:rRNA from 1 species
GAUGAACGCUAGCGGCAGGCUUAAUACAUGCAAGUCGAGGGGUAGCAUGAUUGUAGCAAUACAAUUGAUGACGACCGGCAAACGGGUGCGGAACACGUACACAACCUUCCUACAAGUGGGGAAUAGCCCAGAGAAAUUUGGAUUAAUACCCCCGUAACAUAGCGAUGUGGCAUCACAUUGCUAUUAUAGCUUCGGCGCUUGUUGAUGGGUNUGCGGCUGAUUAGAUAGUUGGCGGGGUAACGGCCCACCAAGUCUACGAUCAGUAGCUGAUGUGAGAGCAUGAUCAGCCACACGGGCACUGAGACACGGGCCCCGACUCCUACGGGAGGCAGCAGUAAGGAAUAUUGGACAAUGGACGCAAGUCUGAUCCAGCCAUGCCGCGUGAAGGAUUAAGGUCCUCUGGAUUGUAAACUUCUUUUAUCUGGGACGAAAAAGGCGAUUCUUCGUCACUUGACGGUACCAGAUGAAU